UGCACAUCGGCCUACCCCACAUCUCUGCCUACUUUCAUCUUUGUUUUCAUGCCAGGAAGUCACGACAUCAAGAGACGUCAGUCACAGCACUAGGCACCCAAUCUUAUCUCGCUGGUGCAGACGCAGCCCGUUGUUCCUUUCCUUGCUCUCACUACGUAGGACACGAGAAAGGCAGAAGGCCACAAAAGAGGUCCAUGUGCGUGCACACGCAUGCAAACACACCGCUGGCGAUGCGAGCAACGGAGAAGACUUCUUAGCGACUUCAUGCGUGGACACAGGCACAGAGCACGCCUAACCGGUACACAGAAUCAACAGACAAACCAAAGCAUGUGGGAAAAGGCUGAUCAGAUAAAAAGGAAGACAUCUCAGCAAAGUUAUCAACUAUAAGGUGAGAAUAUGCCCAAGUUUAGGUAUCUCCUAAUAGCAAUAGCAUUAAACUUAUACAGCGCUUCACAGUGCUUCACAGCCCUCCCUAAGUGGUUUACAGAGUCAGCCUUUUGCCCCCAACAAUCUGAGUCCUCAUUUUACCAACCUUGGAAGGAUGGAAGUCUGAGUCAACGUUGAGCUAGUCAGGAUCGAACUGCUGGCAGUGAGCAAAGUUAGCCUGCAGUACUGCAUUCUAACCACUGGGAGGGAAGGAGGGAUGGAGGGAGGAAGGGCAAUUCCAAUAGCACUUAUAUCUCACUUCCCAGUGUUUUUCCAGCCCCCUCUAAGCAGUUUGCAGAGUCAGCCUCUUGCCCCCAACAAUAUGGGUCCUCAUUUUACCCACCUGGGAAGGACGGAAGGCUGAGUCAAUCUUGAGCUGGUCAGGAUCGAACUGCUGGCAGUGGAAUGCAGAGUUAGCCAUAGCAAUAGCAUUUAGACUUAUAUACCACUUCACAGCCCAUUAUAGCCCUCUCUAAGCAGUUUACAGAGUCAGCCUAUUGCCCCCAACAAUUGGGGUCCUCCAUUAACCAAACUCGGAAGGAUGAAAGACUGAGUCAACGUUGAGUUGGUCAGGAUCAAACUCCUAGUAGUCGACAGAAUUAGCCUGCAAUAUUGCAUUCUGACCACUGCGCCACCAUGGCUCUAAUCAUGUUGAGGUGCUCAUUUCUGUAAGAAUCCUUAGCUAGGAGGCGCUCUUGCC
rnacentral:lncRNA from 1 species